rnacentral:rRNA from 1 species
GGCCUAGGGGGGCAGCAGUAGGGAAUCUUCCACAAUGGGCGCAAGCCUGAUGGAGCAACACCGCGUGAGUGAAGAAGGGUUUCGGCUCGUAAAGCCCUUUUGUUAGAGAAGAAAGUGCGUGAGAGUAACUGUUCACGUUUCGACGGUAUCUAACCAGAAAGCUACGGCUAAAUACGUGCCAGCAGCCGCGGUAAUACGUAGGUGGCAAGCGUUAUCCGGAUUUAUUGGGCGUAAAGGG